rnacentral:rRNA from 1 species
CACAUUCAAUAAGCGGAGGAAAAGAAACUAACAAGGAUUCCCCUAGUAACUGCGAGUGAAGCGGGAAAAGCUCAAAUUUAAAAUCUGGCGGUCUCUGGCCGUCCGAGUUGUAAUCUAGAGAAGUAAUGCCCGUGCUGGACCGUGUAUAAGUCUCCUGGGAUGGGGCGUCAUAGAGGGUGAGAAUCCCGUCUUUGACACGGACUACCAGUACAUUGUGGUAUGCUCUCAAAGAGUCGAGUUGUUUGGGAAUGCAGCUCAAAAUGGGUGGUAAAUUCCAUCUAAAGCUAAAUAUUGGCGAGAGACCGAUAGCGAACAAGUACCGUGAGGGAAAGAUGAAAAGAACUUUGGAAAGAGAGUUAAACAGUACGUGAAAUUGCUGAAAGGGAAACGCUUGAAGUCAGUCGCGUUGGCCGGGGAUCAGCCUUGCUUUUGCAUGGUGUACUUUCUGGUUGACGGGUCAGCAUCAAUUUUGACCGCUGGAAAAAGACCUGGGGAAUGUGGCAGCUUCGGCUGUGUUAUAGCCCCUAGUCGCAUACAGUGGUUGGGAUUGAGGAACUCAGCACGCCGCAAGGCCGGGUUUCGACCACGUUCGUGCUUAGGAUGCUGGCAUAAUGGCUUUAAGCGACCCGUCUUGAAACACGGACCAAGGAGUCUAACAUGCCUGCGAGUAUUUGGGUGGAAAACCCAAGUGCGUAAUGAAAGUGAAAGUUGAGAUCCCUGUCGUGGGGAGCAUCGACGCCCGGACCAGAACUUUUGGGACGGAUCCGCGGUGGAGCAUGUAUGUUGGGACCCGAAAGAUGGUGAACUAUGCCUGAAUAGGGUGAAGCCAGAGGAAACUCUGGUGGAGGCUCGUAGCGAUUCUGACGUGCAAAUCGAUCGUCAAAUUUGGGUAUAGGGGCGAAAGACUAAUCGAACCAUCUAGUAGCUGGUCUGC